rnacentral:rRNA from 1 species
CGGGUGAGUAACGCGUGAGGAACCUGCCUCAAAGAGGGGGACAACAGUUGGAAACGACUGCUAAUACCGCAUAAGCCCACGGCUCGGCAUCGAGCAGAGGGAAAAGGAGCAAUCCGCUUUGAGAUGGCCUCGCGUCCGAUUAGCUAGUUGGUGAGGUAAUGGCCCACCAAGGCGACGAUCGGUAGCCGGACUGAGAGGUUGAACGGCCACAUUGGGACUGGGACACGGCCCAG